UCAGGACGAACGCUGGCGGCGUGCUUAACACAUGCAAGUCGAACGGAACACCCUUGACAGAGGUUUCGGCCAAUGAAGAGGAAUGUUUAGUGGCGGACUGGUGAGUAACGCGUGAGGAACCUGCCUUUCAGAGGGGGACAACAGUUGGAAACGACUGCUAAUACCGCAUGAAGCAGCGAGGGGACAUCCCUUUGCUGUCAAAGAUUUAUCGCUGAAAGAUGGCCUCGCGUCUGAUUAGCUAGUUGGUGGGGUAACGGCCCACCAAGGCGACGAUCAGUAGCCGGACUGAGAGGUUGACCGGCCACAUUGGGACUGAGAUACGGCCCAGACUCCUACGGGAGGCAGCAGUGGGGAAUAUUGGGCAAUGGACGCAAGUCUGACCCAGCAACGCCGCGUGAAGGAAGAAGGCUUUCGGGUUGUAAACUUCUUUUAACAGGGAAGAGAAGAAGACGGUACCUGUUGAAUAAGCCACGGCUAACUACGUGCCAGCCGCGGC
rnacentral:rRNA from 1 species